CCUACGGGUGGCAGCAGUGAGGAAUAUUGGUCAAUGGGCGCGAGCCUGAACCAGCCAAGUAGCGUGAAGGAUGACUGCCCUACGGGUUGUAAACUUCGUUUAUAAAGGAAUAAAGUGAGGCACGUGAUCCUCUUUGUAUGUACUUUAUGAAUAAGGAUCGGCAAAGUCCGUGCCAGCAGCCGCGGUAAUAGGGAGGAUGCGAGCGUUAUCCGGAUUUGUUGGUUUUAAGGGGUGCGUCGGGGUACGGUUAAGUCAGCGGUAAAAGCCCGGGGCUCAACCCCGGCGAGCCGUUGAAUCUGGCAGUCUUGAGUACAGUUGAGGUUGGUGGAAUUCGUGGUGUAGCAGUGAAAUGCUUAGAUAUCACGAAGAACUCCGAGUGCGAAGGCAGCUUACUAAACUGCCACUGACAUUGAUGAUCGAAAGUGUGGGUAUCAAACAGGAUUAGAUACCCCGGUAGUC
rnacentral:rRNA from 1 species